rnacentral:lncRNA from 1 species
CCAGGUGCUUGCUUGCACGCUGUGCACGCAGGCGUGCAUCGUGUGCGUGUGCACACGCGUGUGCCCGCGCGUGCGUGUGAGCGGGCGCGCGGGGCGGGGGCGUUGCGGGCGCCGCUGAUCAACAGCCGGGAGCGGGGCGGCUGCUGGCAGGCGCGCAAGAAGCUGUCCCCGGCCGCCAGCCGCUGUCGCAGCCCGGGAGGGAGGGAGGGCGGCGGGCGGGGGAGGGCGAGCGUUCGCUUCAGCCCUUAAUCACGGAAUUUGAAAUCCCAGCGAGUCGGUGCCAUUUAUUUUCCGGGGCUGUCAAGGCUGGUUUCAGCGUUUAAAAGGAAGGAGGAUGAACAGCAUUUGCGUCUCCCUUCCGCGGCCGCCCGUCGCCCGUCCCGUCGCCCCCUCGCUCCGCUGGGCCCAGGCGGCGUGGGGGAGGCGGCCGAGGGCUGGAGGCCGGGCCCCAGGCGAGGGCGUCGGGGCGCUUCUGGGGCGGGGACCAAUGUGGCCUAAGCGGCUCUGGUGGCAGAGGGACGGGCUGGCUGCUGGGGGAGGCCUGGGGCUCCCAGACUUUACCCCAGGAAGCGGCCCUGGACCCAAAGCUGCCCCAGCCCCAGGAGACCCACAUCAACGCCCCCAAGCCUAGAAUGCUGGGCCCCGAGGGCAGAAAGGGCACCCCCCGGGGACAAACGCUCUCUGGGCACACAGGGAAACUGAGGCCCGGUCACUGGCCAAGGUCACAUAGCAGCAGGACCAGGAUAAGAGGGGCAGCCUGGCACCUGGGCUGGGUAAGGGACCUCUGCCACCAGGCACCGACCUGCGUCUCAGGCACAGUGACCUUGCCCACUGUCCCGUCUUGUCUUCCCACUGGGAUCCAGCCUGUGCCCUGCGGGGCACACCUGCUUUCCUCACCUGCUGUCCCCCUUGCUCCUGGGGACGACUAGGGUGGCUACAGGAUCUCUCCCUGAAGUCUGCAGUUGAGGCUGGACCCCAGGGCCCUCUCUCAGAUUCGGUUUCCUCUGUGGAAUGAGAACUGGAACUACCAGCCAGGCCUGACAGGGACGUCCCGCAGGUGCAGUCCUGGUGGAGAGGCCCGCGCACGAGGGGCUCCCCGGCUGUUGCGAUUGUUUUGUCAUUUUGUCAUUGUGACCGUGUGCCCACCCCUUCCAUUCCACAGAUUCCGGGCGUCUCCAGAACCUUGCCCAGACCAUCUCAGAAUGCCUCCUGGCCCCGACUCAGCACAGUCACACUGGAACACCCAGGUGGGGCCUUGUGCUGGCGAAGACGGAAAGGCAAAUAUUGGGAGAGGAAAAAAGAACCCCUGGCCCUGUUGACAACACUUCCUACUUGUGCCUGAAGUGUGGCUGAUAUUUUCUGUCCUU